UCAGAGGUCUCAAGCGUUGUUCGGAUUCAUUGGGCGUAAAGGGUGCGUAGGCGGCGCGGUAAGUCGGAUGUGAAAUCUCGGAGCUUAACUUCGAAACUGCAUUCGAUACUGCCGUGCUUGAGGACUGGAGAGGAGACUGGAAUUUACGGUGUAGCGGUGGAAAUGCGUAGAUAAUCGUAAGGAAGACCAGUGGCGAAGGCGGGUCUCUG
rnacentral:rRNA from 1 species